UUGCUUAUGGGUAAAUUUUGUGUGAAUUUUAUUUUUAUAAAAUACAUAUGGCACAUAAUCUUUUUCUUCUUCCGUGAGCACUGUCCCUGCCUUCAAUGGCGACUUCGUUGUUCAGUAACCAUUUCAAACAGCCAACCUACCAAAAAGCUUUCCCGGACAAAACUCAGCUUAGCCCAACAGCCAACAACCUCCAGUUUGGCUUGAAAGUCGCGCGAAAGUCACGAAAGUUCAUCUAAAAAAAGUCCGAUCCGGCCACCUGAGUCACUUCUGUUGGUGACCACCACCACCACCAUCAAUCAACUCCCAUCCAUACCCGCCCGUUUUUCAGCUAGAAUAGCCACCGGGAUAGGAAGAUCCAAUGUUGACCCGAAUUGGUCAAACGUGACCCACUGGACAUGACUGGUUUUUUUAAUUCCGGCACUCCCAAAGGUAGUAUUCGGCUUGAAAUCUCGGGUUUCAGUAGUGCAAGCUCUAAGUCUCUCAAUGGUAGAAUUGUGUCAGGUUUUUGCAGCUAAAUGCAGAUAUUGUAGGCUUUUUGCAUCAAAGUGAAGGGGAAGUGACAGAGAGUGGAGAAAGCAUGGCAUUGUGGAUGAAGAUAUUAUAGAACCAAGCUACUGAAAAUAGGGGAUACUUUAUUGGGGCCAAUGCACAUAGAGAUUUCCUCUCUGCUGAGGACAACGAUGAACAGGACGCUAAAAGAUUACAACUUAUGGUAGUAACCCUUGAAGAAGGGCCCCGAGUUUGAUGCAGAUCCUACAUAUGCUUUCAUUUGUAUACAUAAAUGUUCAAACUUUAAAUUAUCUAAAAAAAAUUAAUAUUCAGCUUACAAUAUGGUUUGGAACUUCAAGCCCUGCUUCACUUCUCAAUGUAGAGUCUUUUCCUGGAGGAGAAAAUGAAUUCAAGUAUUUGUCUCAAGU